rnacentral:rRNA from 1 species
UACAGAGGUCUCAAGCGUUGUUCGGAUUCAUUGGGCGUAAAGGGUGCGUAGGCGGCGCGGUAAGUCGGGUGUGAAAUCUCGGAGCUUAACUCCGAAACUGCAUUCGAUACUGCCGUGCUUGAGGACUGGAGAGGAGACUGGAAUUUACGGUGUAGCGGUGAAAUGCGUAGAUAUCGUAAGGAAAGACCAGUGGCGAAGGCGGGUCUCUGGACAGUUCCUGACGCUGAGGCACGAAGGUCAGGGGGAGCAAAACGGGG